rnacentral:misc_RNA from 1 species
GAUGAAGAACGUAGCGAAAUGCGAUACGUAAUGUGAAUUGCAGAAUUCAGUGAAUCAUCGAAUCUUUGAACGCAUAUUGCGCUCUCUGGUAUUCCGGAGAGCAUGCUUGUUUGAGUAUCAGUAAACACCUCAACUUCCAUAUCUUUUUUUGAAAUGGGAGUUGGACUUGAGUGAUCCCAACGCUUUUCCUCACCGAAAAGUGGCGGGUUACUUGAAAUGCAGGUGCAGCUGGACUUUUCUCUGAGCUAUAAGCAUAUCUAUUUAGUCUGCCUAAAAAACAGAUUAUUACCUUUGCUGCAGCUAACAUAAAGGAGAUUAGUUCUUGUGCUGACUGAUGCAGGAUUCACAAAGACAGCUUCGGCCGACUUUGUAAACUCGAUCUCAAAUCAGGUAAGACUACCCGCUGAACUUAAGCAUAUCAAUAAGCGGAGGA